rnacentral:rRNA from 1 species
UCUUGAAUAUCAAAGGUGAGCCAGUACAGGAUGGACCCGCGUCUGAUUAGCUAGUUGGUAAGGUAACGGCUUACCAAGGCGACGAUCAGUAGCCGACCUGGGAGGGUGAUCGGCCACAUUGGAACUGCGACACGGUCCAAACUCCUACGGGAGGCAGCAGUGGGGAAUAUUGCACAAUGGGCGAAAGCCUGAUGCAGCAACGCCGCGUGAGUGAUGAAGGCCUUCGGG